CAACUUUCAACAAUGGAUCUCUUGGCUCUCGCAUCGAUGAAGAACGCAGCGAAAUGCGAUACGUAAUGUGAAUUGCAGAAUUCCGUGAAUCAUCGAAUCUUUGAACGCACCUUGCGCCCCUUGGUAUUCCGAGGGGCAUGCCUGUUUGAGUGUCAUUG
rnacentral:rRNA from 1 species